CCUACGGGUGGCAGCAGUGGGGGAUAUUGCACAAUGGGGGAAACCCUGAUGCAGCGACGCCGCGUGUAGGAAGACGGUCCUCUGGAUUGUAAACUACUGUCCCCAGGGACGAAGCUGACGGUACCUGUGGAGGAAGCUCCGGCUAACGACGUACCAGCAGCAGCGGUAAUCCGUAGGGAGCGAGCGUUGUCCGGAAUUACUGGGUGUAAAGGGACCGUAGGCGGGGGUGCAAGUUGGGUGUUAAAUCUACCGGCUCAACUGGUAGUCGCACUCAAAACUGCAGCUCUGGAGUGAAGUAGAGGCAGGCGGAAUUCCUGGUGUAGCAGUGAAAUGCGUAGAUAUUAGGAGGAACACCAGUGGCGAAGGCGGCCUUCUGGGCUUUUACUGACGCUGAGGCUCGAAAGUGUGGGGAGCAAACAGGAUUAGAUACCCUUGUAGUC
rnacentral:rRNA from 1 species